UACGUAGGGUGCGAGCGUUAAUCGGAAUUACUGGGCGUAAAGCGUGCGCAGGCGGUUCGUUAAGUUCGAUGUGAAAGCCCCGGGCUCAACCUGGGAAUUGCAUUGGAAACUGGCGGGCUUGAGUGUGGCAGAGGGGGGUGGAAUUCCACGUGUAGCAGUGAAAUGCGUAGAGAUGUGGAGGAACACCGAUGGCGAAGGCAGCCCCCUGGGCUAACACUGACGCUCAGGCACGAAAGCGUGGGGAGCGAACAGG
rnacentral:rRNA from 1 species